rnacentral:rRNA from 1 species
CGCCCAGACUCCUACGGGAGGCAGCAGUGGGGAACAUUGCACAAUGGGGGAAACCCUGAUGCAGCGACGCCGCGUGAGCGAUGAAGUAUUUCGGUCUGUAAAGCUCUAUCAGCAGGGAAGAAGAUGACGGUACCUGACUAAGAAGCCCCGGCUAACUACGUGCCAGCAGCCGCGGUAAUACGUAGGGGGCAAGCGUUAUCCGGAUUUACUGGGUGUAAAGGGAGCGUAGACGGCGAUGCAAGCCAGAUGUGAAAGCCCGGGGCUCAACCCCGGGACUGCAUUUGGAACUGUGUGGCUGGAGUGUCGGAGAGGCAGGCGGAAUUCCUAGUGUAGCGGUGAAAUGCGUAGAUAUUAGGAGGAACACCAGUGGCGAAGGCGGCCUGCUGGACGAUGACUGACGUUGAGGCUCGAAAGCGUGGGGAGCAAACAGGAUUAGAUACCCUGGUACAA